rnacentral:lncRNA from 1 species
CUCACACCCAGCCUAUAGGAAACGUCCCAGAGAAAGCCACAAGGGAAAGAAAAAGUCUGCAGGAAACAGGAUCAUCAGGAGAUAUUUCAGAAAAGCCAAACAUGCAAGCUAGGUUUGACCCUGUCUGCGAAACUGAGAAUACUCUUCUCCAGGAUGCAGCAGCACAGCUAGAAGAUGAGGAUACCAGGGGCUUCAGCAACCUGCAUGGAACCUCUGCUUACAGUGCUAGCUAGGUGAACACUGAGGACACCAGCUGGGACUCUGGAGAUCCAUUUGUUGUUCUUACAUACUGGACAUGACCUUGGGCUACAUUCCCUCUGCAAUGUGGCAACUCUAGCAUCCAUCCCAGACACCCACGUGGCAAUGGAGGACCAGGAGAUACUCACAGGCAUGGAAGACCUCAGAAGUCCCUUUUGUAGAUGGAAAAAUACCUCCAUCCUAUGUCCUGGUUGCUAUCACCAUAAAUAUAUCCCAGGGAAUACAAAGGGCUUCUAAUAAAAGUAGCUUUGCAACAAUGACAAACUCAGAAUGUAAGACAAGAUAAAAAGGAAUCUUCCUUGUAGGAAGCAGUACUGUCUUUGCAUUGUCUUCUUCAGUGAAACCAGUGUUGCCUAGAUAGAAUGACGUCUCCUCUGACAUCUUAAUCCCCGCCGCCUACCCUGCUGGCAGUGGGAUCAUAAGCAUCUUUGGCAACAGACAAUUGGCAUUUUCAAAACAUGUUAAAUUCUUCCCUUCUGCUGCAGUGCAUCUGGACACAGAACAUACUGGCAGCUUCGCUCAACAUUAUCAUUUUAUUAGAAACUCUUGAAGGAGUAUAUUUGUCUUAUGCCUUCAGAUUUUUGUUAUUUCUAUCUGGUAGCAAGAACCAACAGCGCUCAAGGUACUUCCCAAAGAAAAUAAAGGCACAGCCUCUGCCCUGCAGAACCAUCAAUCCCCUUAAGAUCCUUUGCAGUAUUGUGAAAUAGGAGAACCAGAAAUCUAACACCAACGUUGUGAAAAUGUGAAGAGGAAAGAUAACUCACACUUCCAUCUGGAUCCAGCUCAGCUGCUGCGAAAGAGCAGCAUCAGCAACCAGAGCAGCAGAAACAGCAGAGUCAGAG